rnacentral:rRNA from 1 species
UGCGGAGGGUGCAAGCGUUAAUCGGAAUUACUGGGCGUAAAGCGCACGUAGGCGGUUCGUUAUGUCGGAUGUGAAAGCCCUUGGCUUAACCGAGGAAGUGCAUCCGAAACUGGCGAGCUAGAGUACGAAAGAGGAUCGCGGAAUUCCCGGUGUAGAGGUGAAAUUCGUAGAUAUCGGGAGGAACACCAGUGGCGAAGGCGGCGAUCUGGGAAGAUACUGACGCUGAGGUGCGAAAGCGUGGGGAGCAAACAGG